UGGGGAAUUUUGGACAAUGGGCGCAAGCCUGGUCCAGCCAUGCCGCGUGCGGGAAGAAGGCCUUCGGGUUGUAAACCGCUUUUGUCAGGGAAGAAAUCUUCUGAGUUAAUACCUCGGGAGGAUGACGGUACCUGAAGAAUAAGCACCGGCUAACUACGUGCCAGCAGCCGCGGUAAUACGUAGGGUGCAAGCGUUAAUCGGAAUUACUGGGCGUAAAGCGUGCGCAGGCGGUUUUGUAAGACAGAGGUGAAAUCCCCGGGCUCAACCUGGGAACUGCCUUUGUGACUGCAAGGCUUGAGUGCGGCAGAGGGGGGAUGGAAUUCCGCGUGUAGCAGUGAAAUGCGUAGAUAUGCGGAGGAACACCGAUGGCGAAGGCAAUCCCCUGGGCCUGCACUGACGCUCAUGCACGAAAGCGUGGGGAGCAAACAGGAUUAGAUACCCUGGUAGUCCACGCCCUAAAACGAUGUCAAACUGGUUGUUGGGAAGGUUCCUUCUCAGUAACGUAGCUAACGCGUGAAGUUGACCGCCUGGGGAGUACGGCCGC
rnacentral:rRNA from 1 species